UUGACGAGCCAAUUCUUAACAGCUGAAAACACGGCUGGACGCCAGACAACAUUUUCUCCGCAAGAAAACAGCCACAACUACACUCGGAAGUGCUUUGAAAUUUGGCGCGCCAGGAGAGGUUUCCUUGCGCGAGAUUAACGCCACUUCCGACUCUCUUUGUCGCAGGAGUUUGUCAAAGGAGAACACCAGGCUACUUUCGUAAGGUGAAGGUAGGCCUACUUUUAACCUUGUUUUGUAUGACCACUAGUGAAGAACCUAUAGUCUCUUAAUAUGCUCAGGUGGGUUAUCCAUAGCCUAAGUGUAAGAUGCUGAAGCAAAAUUCUAUCCAAGUAUGGAUAUUAUGCAAAUCUAAACAUUUAGAAUAAAUAUCAGUAUUUAUCCCCAUGUUAUAAUUCCACAUUGUUGAUUAUAAUUGUUUAUUGAUUAUUACAUGGGUACUGGACUACUUCAUAAAAAUAGGCUCUCCUAAACUUAAACAUGCUUAACUAAUAAGUUAUUAAUUGAAGAGACAAUGGAACAUUCUUUUAUUAGUGUUUUUCAUUCAGGAAAAGGGAUGUUGUACAAAAGUGUGCAUGAACAUAAAUACUGAGAAGGCAUUAAACCUUUUAUGGCCUUUCAAAAAAUGUUAUAAAAUUUAAUUAUUUGUGUACAUUAUUGUUAAUGUCAAUGUCUAGAACAAUCUAAAUGCCUUCUUCCAAAACAGAUCCUUGGACAACCAACCUUGACAAACUGCUUUAGCAUUUCAUCUGACAUAAGUCAUCUGUAAAUUUUAUACACAUACAAUCCAAACUCAUAUGUUGUACUUCAGAUUCAAAUUCAGCUCAAUGACUUUAUAUUACAUUUUAAAUAAUUAAACUUCAGUUCAAGAUGUUUCUUCUUGUUUGUGCAUAGUCCACUCUGGUUAGAUAUAAAGAAUGCACUGUUAUUUGUACGAUAUUAUUUCAUACCAUAUGACAAAGAAUUAACCCAACUGAUUUGGAAUCUUUACAAUUUUUUAACAUAACACAAGAUUGUGACUAACCAUUUGUUUAUAUUUUGCAUCUCAAUUAAAUUGAAAUCUUGAAAUAUGUUUUGUCUCACUGGUGGUGUUGACUGUUCACAAAUACUCCAGAGCACUUCUCCAAAAUCAUUAGACACAGUAUAUGGAUAAUUUGGAAACAAAGCAGUUUGAUACAGGGCAAUGUUGUAUACAUCAGUACAUUGCCAGAAAUGUGAAAAAGAGGCUGUAGAUGGACAGAAUCAAAUAUGUAGUGCAACUGAAUAAGUUGCAGGCAAUUGUAAGAUAUAACAGAAAAUACCUUCCCCUUUCUGCAAAAUCUUUAGAAGAAUUUCCUUUGAGGAAGGUCACUAUUGCUUGACUAGAAGGUAGGAAAGGACUUUAAAUCAUGAAAAUUUCUACAUCCUGAGCAAGACUAUCAUGCCUAAGUAGUUGUGAUAAAACACUAUGCAGUCAAAGUACUGCUAAUAUGUUUUUUAUAGCCAGUAUUGUUUUUAUAAAAAGAGGAAUGAAUGAAUUGCCAAGGACAUGGGAUGUUAGACUGACAUUAAGAAUACGUUGUGGGCAUCAUAAAUGCAGUAGGAGCAAGACUAGUUCAUUUAACCAGCUAUGAAGUCUACUGUCAAUCAAGCAAGCUAUUGACAAACAUGCUGAAAUAACAAUAUUUUCUAGGUAUAUUUACAUUUAUGACAGCAUAUUUAUUAAGUAAAACACUAUAAUAUAUAUAGAGUAUAAUAGUAUGUCUAGUAGUCUUGGUGCAAUAUUUGCAUAAUUGAAACACAUUCUCCAACACAAAUAAAGGCAAAUAAUAAUUUCUAGUGCAAUAAUGUGAACAAUUUUAGAAAGCAUUUGUCAGAGAAAAACAGUAAGAAAGCUAGUGAGAGCUUAAAGAAGAAAGUUACAGAUAAUGAAGCAAAGAGUAGCAAUCAAGGGAUCAGAAAAUCUUGCACCUUCUUGGUGUGUGUGUGUGUGUGUAUAUAUAUAUAUACACACACACACACACAUGCAAUAUAUACAAAAGUAAGGGUACCUUUUCUCAAAAGAUGUAUGUGUUGAAACUUACAGUUGCAUCUCCCUUGUGUAGGGGGUGCAAGGUGUGUGUGUAUGUGGGUACUUGUCUGUCUGCACCAUCAGUAUUUGGAUUUGAAGAAGGAGAGUCCUUCUUCCAAAGAAUGCUUUGCAGUACCAAUGUAGUAUUUCAGUGCGCAUAUUAUUGUAUAUUGCAUUUUUAUAUAGCUGUACCUGCAUAUUGUUUUGUAAUGGUCAAGCAAUACGUUGUAUUGAUUACAAUCUACCAUCUCAACUCCAUAAAUUAAUAAAUACAUUUUUAUAGCUAA